GCACGCCGGCUCUCUUUGCCAUGGUGACGUGUCUAGCAUCCACAUCGACGGCUACGACUAUGACCGCCUCUUCACUUGUCGGUGCCGCUACCUCAUGCUCCGCUUUAUGUCGGCAUUCCAGUGAGCUUGAUAAGAUAUUUUAGCACCUUGAUGAGACACCAUUGUGCCAUUAGGGAAAUCUUCAUCAUCACGUUUCUCUCUUUUCCUAAGAAUACGAUGGAUCUUCAGUUAUUUAAUUCUAUCUCUUUAUGCAAAUGUCCAACAGGAGCAAUUUCUUGAGUUCUUGAUAGGCAGGGAACACCGCCUCCUCCGCUGGGUGAAGAUAAUCUCAAACUUCUCCAUUGCGUUGGUUAAGAAAAAGCCUCAAUGAUCCGCAGAUGCUGAAAUUAGUCAUGUGAAAUAGUACUUUAUGUAUGUUCGUGAUUUUAAAAUA